AUCAACCAGCAGGGUCUGCCACUAGAAGCUGUUGCCACAUUCUUUAUUUCUACAAUACCGGAACACAGCACAGUUCGUCACGCAGAGGUGGAAGGUGGUUUUAGGUGGAACCAAAGCGUAACUAUAUAUAAUAUAUGGGUGGAACAAAGUCACUUUGAGGUUGAAUAGCCUGUUAUUAUAAAGCAUAAUUCCCAUGAUUACGAUUCGGAAGAGCUGAAAUCUGGAAGGGGUGAAUUCUACAUGACAGAAUCUGGCAAUAGCAUAACUGCAAACGGAACAAUUCCUCAGCUGAAAGUAUAAGCACAUAUCUAGUCUUUGGUGACUGAUGAUUGAGAACGGUACUGAAACAGUGAAACUUAUAGUCGAAGAUGUUUUGAAAAUUGAAACAUAGACUAUACCUGUGGUGAACUGAAGCUUGGUAUAUUUGCUGUUUGCCAAAAUUUUCUCCUAGUAUUAAAUUUUGCCGGGUAUGCUGACAGCUGAACUAAGCGGCACAAAGAUAAAACACAAGAAAACUAUCAUAAUAUAUAUCAAAUUUGCAGUGUUUUUAUGUAGAUAAUAUACGGUACACAGUAUUCAGGGUGGCGUAAGAACCCGCUUUUGGAAUGUGAUAAUCAGCGACCCAUUUUUGAUUUUAGAACUAUAAGUUUGGCAGGGUUUUCUGAAAUGACAGAACUGAAAUGACUGCUCUUCGUGAGUUCAAUACAAGAGCAAAUCUGUUCUUAAAAAAUUUUAAAUCCCACAACUGUAUACAGUAUCUCGACGUCACGAAUCAUGCUGAAUACCCAAAGUCUUAACCAUGAUGGCUCAAUCAGUAUAGUGAUCUUCACUUCUGAAUUCAAUCAAGUGUGCAAACAACUAAUAAUGCAUUUAUUUCAUGGAUUUUAUGCGAGAACUGCCCUAGGACAAAAAAGAUUGUCAUUCCACAAAAAUGCUAAUGCCAAAUCUUUUUGUAACGUUGUUGCACAACAUUUUUAAACCAGACAAAAUUUAACUUUCAGACGUAUCAAUGCAUGGUAACUGUUGGUACUGUCAAUAAAUUGAAUAACAAGUUUAAGCAAUGCAAAUAUUUGGCAACAAAAACUGUCUCAAACAUUUUUCCAUAGGUGCUCUUGUUUUAUUGUCCUCUAUCUGUGAACUUCUCAUCAUUUUGUUGUCAGAAUAAUAAAUUUAAGGUGUGCUCCUCAAACAAUUUCAAAUCAUGCCUGAUGUAGUUUUGAUGUUCAAAGCGAAGUUUUUAUAUCUGUUAUUCUUAAACUACAAGUAACCAUUUGAAAUGUAUAUGCUGCCUGUGGAUUGAUUCUAUACAAUUCUUUAAUUAAAAUAUAUCUGCAUGUGUUAUUGAUUUGCCAGGACCACCCUAAUAAUAUCAUUUUAGUCAGUGACCCAAAUAUCAAUUAUAUUUGAAAUCAUCACUUGGCUUAUUCAGCAAUGUACUGUAAUUCAUCCCAUUUGACUUUUGUUAAGAAGGAGUAAUGUCACUAGAUUGUCAGUACAGUACAGUACAAAAAAAAGUGCUUGUGGAUCCAAAAAUCCUCAUUUGUCUCACUAUCAUUACUUCCAUCUGUAUAAAGUCUGUAUCAAUAUUCGUACUCUGAACAAGACUCAAAGACAAGCAGUGACUGAUAUCGGUCCAAAAUCAGCUAUCCAUUGUUUUACUCCAUGACGACAUAGGCAUUGUAACUCGGAUCUCACCAUGCUAAGAUGAUUAAGUCCUGCGCCUCAAUCACUAUGCCCUUCACACUAUGAGAAAGUUGUUGUAGAUGUUUUUUUAAUCAUACAUGUAGUAUGUGUUUUAGAUAUAAAUUUAUUUUUAUGCUGCCUUAUUAUAACGGCUUGCAAUGCACUUGGUGCUCAAAGAUUUUUCUUUUGAUGUAUAUUUUGUGAUUAGCCCAAAGAAUUUUCAUUGUCCUGUUAAAUGGUAUUCCAAUGUUCAUGGAAGUUUUCUCAAUGCAGUAUUAAAAUUACUUAAUCUUUAUAUUUCGAGAGUUACAAGAGAAUUAAGCAAAUAUUUACCAAGGCUUAGUGCCCAUGCGUAUAAACUUAAAGCUACCUUGUGCUAAAAUACAUAACAAGAUCACCUUGCUCUUUAAAGUUGUGUAUGUUGAAAUAUUUGCUAUUCAACACCUAUCCAUCAAUAGAAGUUGAACAAAAUUCCCCAUUGCUAUUUCUAGUAUGGAAUUAAAUUUAGUUAAUCAUUAUACUUGUGACCCUAAUAUCCCAGUUUGUUCUUCAAAUGGAGUGACAUUGUACACUAUGUAUUUGUUUGCAUAGUUGAGAAGGAAAAGAAUGUCAGUUCAUUGUGUGUACCUGUUUAUUCCUAUCUUUGUGUUUUGGGCAGCAUGCUUGAAAGUGACAUAUGUUCGUUUGGCUUGAAAUUACACAAAUCUCUUAAUAAGGAGUUCAACUACUCACAUAUUGCAUAUAUGGAAUAGAUCAUUAAAUUUGUAGAGAAUGUAAUUGUUUGUGCUGAAUUAUACCUUUAGGUGUUUGUUUAUUAUUAGUGCAUAAUUCGUUUUCACAUGGCUAGAUGAAACAUGACAUGAAUUUCAUAUUAUGAUGUUUUAAAAGCAUGCUAUACAAUGCAGAUUGCAUUUUGCGCAAUGCAGUUCUGCAAGAAUAACAAACUCGUUGAAACAGACUUCAAUGGAUGACCUGACUAUGUCACCAUCAU